rnacentral:rRNA from 1 species
GGCUACACACGUGCUACAAUGGGUAGUACAGAGAGUUGCAAAGCUGUGAAGUGGAGCUAAUCUCAGAAAACUAUUCUUAGUUCGGAUUGUACUCUGCAACUCGAGUACAUGAAGUUGGAAUCGCUAGUAAUCGCGAAUCAGCAAUGUCGCGGUGAAUACGUUCUCGGGUCUUGUACACACCGCCCGUCACACCACGAGAGUUGGUUGCACCUGAAGUAGCAGGCCUAACCGUAAGGAGGGAUGCUCCGAGGGUGUGAUUAGCGAUUGGGGUGAAGUCGUAACAAGGUAUCCGUACGGGAACGU